GACUCGAGAGAUCUUGCUCUCUUGGCGGCUAGUGGCGGACGGCUGGCUUAUUAUCCGAACGUGCCCCGGGAAGGGGGAUAACUACUCGAAAGAGUGGCUAAUACCGCAUACGCCCUACGGGGGAAGGGGGGGGAUCGCAAGACCUCUCACUAUUGAAGCGGCCGAUCUCGGAUUAUCUAAUUGGUGGGGUAAAGGCUCACCAGAGCAACCAUCCGUAGCUGGAUUGAGAGGACAACCACCCACACUGGGACUGAGACACGGCCCAUACUCCUAGGGGAGGCACCAGAGGGGAAUUUUGGACGAGGAUGGAAACCCUGAUCCAACCAUCCCGCGUGUAUGAUGAAGGCCUUCUGAUUGUAAAGUACUUUUGGCCAGAAGAUAAGGUAUCCCCUACUACCGGAUACUGCUGACGGUAUCUGCAGAAUAACCACCGUCUAACUAUUGCCAGCGCCCGCGGUAAUACGUAGGGUGCAAGCGUUAAUCGGAAUUACUGGGCUGAAAGCGUGUGUGGGCGGUUCGAUAAAGAAAGAUGUGAAAUCCCAGGGCUCAUCCUUGUGACUGCAUUUUUAUCUGACAAGCUAGAGUAAGUCCAAGGGGGGUAGAAUUCCAAGUGUAUCAUUGAAGUGCCUAAAUAUGUGAAGCAAUACCGAUAGCGAAGGCAACCCCCUGUGAUAAUACUGACGCUCAAACACGAAUGCGUGGUGAGCAAAUAGAAUUACAUACCCUGCUCGUCCACGCCAUAAACCAUGUCAACUGGCUGGUGCGGUCGCUAGGCCUUACACCGCAGCUAUCACGUGAACCCGACCGCCUGAGGAUACUGUCGGUAAAAUUCAAACUCACAGGAAUUGACUGACACCCUCACGAGAUGGCGGAUGGCUGUCGUAUUAUAUCUGUGCUUCCCUUAAGACCUUACGUACCCUUUGACUGUAUGGCAAUCCCCAACAGAUUUGGCCGUGAUCUCAGAUACCCGAACACGGGGCUGCCUGCCUGUCUUCAUCUCGUGACGUGAGGAUGGUAAGUUAGUCCCGCUGCCGAGCGCUAUCUCUUGUUCAUUAG
rnacentral:rRNA from 1 species